rnacentral:rRNA from 2 species
UUGGGCGAGAGUAGUACUAGGGUGGGUGACCCCCUGGGAAGUCCUCGUGUUGCAUCCCU